rnacentral:rRNA from 1 species
GGAAAGGGACGACAUGGAGGGUGAAAUCCCCGUCUUUGGCCCAGAGCAUAGUCCAGCGUUUGCUUGGGAGUGAAGAGUCAGGUUGUUUGGUAUUGCAGCCUAAAGCUGGAGGUAAAUCUCUCCUAAAGCUAAAUAUUGACGAAAGACCGAUAGCGAACAAGUACCGUGAGGGAAAGAUGAAAAGCACUUUGAAAAGAGGGUCAAAAAGUACGUGAAAUUGCUGAAAGGGAACCGUAUGAAAUCAGCCUGUCUCUUUGGUAAUCAACCUGGAAUUCGUUCUGGGUGCACUUGCCGGUGAGUCAGCCUGCGACAAUUUGACUCGGGGGAAAAAAUCGGGGGGAAUGUGGCCUCGGCUUCGGUCGUGGUGUUAUAGCCCUUUGAAAAAUACCCUGGGUUGGAUUGAGGACUGCAGCGAGCCUUUGGGAUGAACUGUGGGUGCUUGGCUUUGCCUUGAAAGAAAUCUCUGCUUCGGGUGGUGUCUUUCUCGGCGGGGUCAACUCGCCUACUUUUUCUUUUUCUCGCUUAGGUCGCAGGCAUAAUGAUUUUAUAUGACCCGUCUUGAAACACGGACCAAGGAGUCCACCAUGAUUGCGAGUCUUUGGGUGUAAAAACUCAUGGGCGCAAGGAAACUGACCAAGAUAUGAAGGCUUUAUGCUGGCAAUAUCCUCCAGCGAGGACGUUUUAUACUGAAUUGACUGAGAGAAAGCAAUCAUGAUGGGACCCGAAAGAUGGUGAACUAUACUUGAAUAGGGUGAAGCCAGAGGAAACUCUGGUGGAAGCUCGUAGCGAUUCUGACGUGCAAAUCGAUCGUCAAAUUUGAGUAUA